UACGAAGGGUGCUAGCGUUGUUCGGAAUCACUGGGCGUAAAGCGCGCGUAGGCGGCUAUUCAAGUCAGGGGUGAAAUCCUGAGGCUCAACCUCAGAAUUGCCUUUGAAACUAAAUAGCUAGAGUGUCGGAGGGGAUAGCGGAAUUGCUAAUGUAGCGGUGAAAUGCGUAGAUAUUAGCAGGAACACCGGUGGCGAAGGCGGCUAUCUGGACGACAACUGACGCUGAGGCGCGAAAGCGCGGGGAUCAAACAGG
rnacentral:rRNA from 1 species